GUGAGGGGAGAAGCCCAGCACCGAAGCCCCUGUCGUUUGUCGGCAGUGGUGCAAUGUGGUGUAAGGGAAGGUCUGUUCUGUUGGAGUGCCUGGUGUCCAAGUCCCCCUGACUGGGGCCAUGACCCAAGGAGGGUGCAAGGCCCGUGUGGCCCGGCAAUCUCUGUGCUCCAAUGGUCGGAUCCUUUCCCAGGAGUCGGGUUGCUUGAGAGUGCAGCCCUAAGUGGGUGGUAAACUCCAUCUAAGGCUAAAUACUUGCCACGAGACCGAUAGCAAACAAGUACCGUGAGGGAAAGUUGCAAAGAACUUUGAAGAGAGAGUUCAAGAGUGCGUGAAACCGUUCGGAGGUAAACGGGUGGGACCUCGAAGGUCGAACGGAUGGGGAGGGAUUCAACCCGCUGCCUUGGCACCCAAGCCGUAGUGAUUGCAUUCCAGACUCCGGCCUGGUUGCCCUACGUGCAGUGGAGUGGCAUUGUUGUAGCGGGUGCAUUUCCCGGCACCCCCUUCCUAGUAGGACGCCGCGACCGGUUGGAAUGUUGAACGCGGGAGACCAGGAGCGGGGCCUAUGGUAGCUGCACAGGUGCAUUUGGGUCGGUGGCAUUUAGCCCCCCGCCCGCACCUGCUUGUCUGGCCUGUGCCCCGUGGCGUCUCUCACUCCGACCGAGGUGUUCAGUGCGCAUUGGCUCCCUGCAAGGGCCAUGCGUCUAUUAUCGUGCCCUGCAUCCCUUUGCUCGGGUAGACAGAGUCCGCCGGGUGGUGCCGGCCUGUCGGGUGUAGUGGUCCCUCGUGGCUGCCACCUGUGCAUGGCUUUGGCAACUGCUGUCAGGGAAGGACACAGGCUCCCGACAUUGGGCACUGAGGGUUCAGCGGCGAGUAGGUUGGUAUCCCACCCGACCCGUCUUGAAACACGGACCAAGGAGUCUAACAUGCUUGCGAGUCUUCGGGGCCUGACAAACCCCAUGAAGGCGAAAUGAAAGUGAAGGUGGUUUUUAUGGAGCACCUAGGCAGGAUCCUGAAGGUGAGAGUCUUCAGGCGCACUGCCGGCCCGUCCUCAGGUCGCUUGUCGAUCG
rnacentral:rRNA from 1 species